UUUUUGUAUUGGAAGGGCUCGUC
rnacentral:piRNA from 1 species